rfam:Salmo salar isolate Sally breed double haploid chromosome ssa27, whole genome shotgun sequence.
AAUGCACCAAUUUGUAAGUCGCUCUGGAUAAGACCGUCUGCUAAAUGACUUAAA